AGGUGAUCAUGUUAGUCCACAUAUUGAGAGUUCUGGAUCCGAUGGCUCGUGUAGUGUCUCAGCCAAAGAGAGCUUGCACGAGACAAUGCCCGUACAUGUCCUGAACCCAAAAAGACCGAUGAAUCAUAAAAUCUUUCAUGUCAGCAAUAAUCUAUUUGUGGUCAUCUGUUUCGGCCGUAUUUGAUUGUAAAUAAUGACCUUGUUUUCAAGUUCUGAGAUUGAUACUGCAUGUGUUUGUGUUUUCAACUUUUAAACAUUUUCCUCAAUAAUCUAAAACUCACUAAUUUUUGACC
rnacentral:lncRNA from 1 species